rnacentral:rRNA from 1 species
GAUGAACGCUAGCUACAGGCUUAACACAUGCAAGUCGCGGGGCAGCAUGGGGGUUGCUUGCAAUCCCCGAUGGCGACCGGCGCACGGGUGAGUAACGCGUAUCCAACCUGCCCUUCACCACGGGAUAACCCGGCGAAAGUCGGACUAAUACCGUAUGUUGUCCAUUGACGGCAUCCGAUUUGGACGAAAGGCUGGGCGGUGAGGGAUGGGGAUGCGUCCGAUUAGCCAGACGGCGGGGUAACGGCCCACCGUGGCUACGAUCGGUAGGGGUUCUGAGAGGAAGGUCCCCCACACUGGAACUGAGACACGGUCCAGACUCCUACGGGAGGCAGCAGUGAGGAAUAUUGGUCAAUGGGCGUAAGCCUGAACCAGCCAAGUAGCGUGCAGGAUGACGGCCCUAUGGGUUGUAAACUGCUUUUAUGCGGGGAUAAAGUGGCCCACGGGUGGGCUUUUGCAGGUACCGCAUGAAUAAGGACCGGCUAAUUCCGUG